CAGGUUAGAGCUACCUUACGUUAGCUAGUGGCUACCUACCGCUGACGUUACCGUUGAUACUAGCGAUUUCUAGUCUGCAACAUAUUUUGGGCUUCAUUUAAUAAACAUAACCUGUAUAAGUA